AACCAUUCUCACCUGCGGCUAGACCUGCGGAGGGAUCAUUACCGAGUUUACAACUCCCAAACCCCUGUGAACAUACCAAUUGUUGCCUCGGCGGAUCAGCCCGCUCCCGGUAAAACGGGGCGGCCCGCCAGAGGACUCCUAAACUCUGUUUCUAUAUGUAACUUCUGAGUAAAACCAUAAAUAAAUCAAAACUUUUAACAAUGGAUCU
rnacentral:misc_RNA from 1 species